AGUGUAGGCGGCUACUUAAGUCGGAUGUGAAAUCCCCGGGCUCAACCUGGGAAUUGCAUUCGAUACUGGGUAGCUAGAAUUUGGUAGAGGUAAGUGGAAUUCCGGGUGUAGCGGUGAAAUGCGUAGAUAUCCGGAGGAACAUCAGUGGCGAAGGCGGCUUACUGGACCAAAAUUGACGCUGAGGCUCGAAAGCGUGGGGAGCAAACA
rnacentral:rRNA from 1 species